CGCGGGGUAGAGCAGCUCGGUAGCUCGUCGGGCUCAUAACCCGGAGGUCGUAGGUUCAAAUCCUGCCCCCGCCACCA
rnacentral:tRNA from 1 species